GAAGAGUCGUGUGUUUGCAUUGCC
rnacentral:siRNA from 1 species